rnacentral:pre_miRNA from 1 species
GUAAUACUCCCUCCAUCCGGAAAUACUUGUCCUAGGAAUGGAUGAAUCUAUACUUAUUUUAAUUAUAGAUACAUCAAAUAUAUCUAUUUUUAGGACAAGUAUUUUCGGACGGAGGGAAUACUUC